GACGAACGCUGGCGGCGUGCUUAACACAUGCAAGUCGAGCGGUAAGGCCCUUUCGGGGGUACACGAGCGGCGAACGGGUGAGUAACACGUGGGUGACCUGCCCUCAGCUCUGGGAUAAGCCUGGGAAACCGGGUCUAAUACUGGAUAUGACUCCAUGACGCAUGUUGUGGGGUGGAAAGCCUUGUGCGGCUGAGGAUGGGCUCGCGGCCUAUCAGCUUGUUGGUGGGGUGAUGGCCUACCAAGGCGACGACGGGUAGCCGGCCUGAGAGGGCGACCGGCCACACUGGGACUGAGACACGGGCCCGACUCCUACGGGAGGCAGCAGUAAGGAAUAUUGGUCAAUGGACGCAAGUCUGAACCAGCCAUGCCGCGUGAAGGAUGAAGGCCCUCUGGGUUGUAAACUUCUUUUAUCUGGGACGAAAAAAGGGGAUUUUUCCUCACUUGACGGUACCAGAGGAUAAGCACCGGCUAACUCCGUGCCAGCAGCCG
rnacentral:rRNA from 1 species